rnacentral:rRNA from 1 species
UACGAAGGGGGCUAGCGUUGCUCGGAAUUACGUGGGCGUAAAGCGCACGUAGGCGGAUUGUUAAGUCGGGGGUGAAAUCCUGGAGCUCAACUCCAGAACUGCCUCGAUACUGGCGAUCUCGAGUUCGGGAGAGGUGAGUGGAACUGCGAGUGUAGAGGUGAAAUUCCGUAGAUAUUCGCAAGAACACCAGUGGCGAAGGCGGCUCACUGGCCCGAUAACUGACGUG